GACGAACGCUGGCGGCGUGCUUAACACAUGCAAGUGGAGCGACGAACCAGGGCUUGCCCUGGGGCAGAGCCGCGAACGGGUGAGUAACACGUGGGUUACCUGCCUCGAUGACUGGGACAACCCGAGGAAACUCGGGCUAAUACCGGCUGUGACCGCAAGGGGAAAGGAAGCUUCGGCCUCCGCAUCGAGAUGGGCCCGCGGCCCAUUAGCUUGUUGGUGAGGUAACGGCUCACCAAGGCCGCGAUGGGUAGCUGGUCUGAGAGGACGAUCAGCCACACUGGGACUGAGACACGUCCCAGACUCCUACGGGAGGCAGCAGUGGGGGAUCUUGCGCAAUGCGCGAAAGCGGGCCGCAGCAACGCCGCGUGGGGGAAGAAGGCUUUCGGGUUGUAAACCCCUUUCAGUUGGGACGAAGCUUCGCCGAUGAAUAGUCGGCCGGAGUGACGGUACCUUCACAAGAAGCACCGGCUAACUACGUGCCAGCCGCCGCCGUAACAC
rnacentral:rRNA from 1 species